rnacentral:rRNA from 1 species
UACAGAGGUCUCAAGCGUUGUCCGGAAUUAUUGGGCGUAAAGAGCUUGUAGGCGGUUUGUCGCGUCUGCUGUGAAAUUUCGGGGCUCAACCCCGAACUUGCAGUGGGUACGGGCAGACUAGAGUGUGGUAGGGAGACUGGAAGUUCCUGGUGUAGCGGUGAAAUGCGCAGAUAUCAGGAGGAACACCGAUGGCGAAGGCAGGUCUCUGGGCCAUAACUGACGCUGAGAAGCGAAAGCAUGGGGAGCGAACAGG